rnacentral:rRNA from 1 species
UACGUAGGGCGCAAGCGUUGUCCGGAAUUAUUGGGCGUAAAGAGCUCGUAGGCGGCUUGUCACGUCGGGUGUGAAAGCCCGGGGCUUAACCCCGGGUCUGCAUUCGAUACGGGCUGGCUAGAGUGUGGUAGGGGAGAUCGGAAUUCCUGGUGUAGCGGUGGAAUGCGCAGAUAUCAGGAGGAACACCGAUGGCGAAGGCAGUUCUCUGGGCCGUAACUGACGCUGAGGAGCGAAAGCGUGGGGAGCGAACAGG